GACGACGGUGGCCGAUAGUGAUCCUAUCCCUUGGCACUGCGCACCGCGCUCCCGGAGCUGUGCGCCUGCGCAUUGUGCUGGUCUCCAUGGCGGGGCCUCGGAGCCAAGACGAGAAAGCAACGCCACUGUGAAGACACAGCUGUAGCUCUUGCAUAAAAGAAGCUACAACUAUCAUGAUUUAAUGCCCCCAAAAGGAGGAACUUCAAUGGAUAAGAAGGGGCAUUUCUGGGGGCAGUAGAAUGUUGAAGGCCGGCCAUUUAGACUUGAGCCACUGCCUGAAGGUAUGGUGAAGCCGACAGAUCAGGAGAGGAAUGCUAUUGGAAAGAUAGUUUGCUCAUCACAGUUCCUAGGAGGAGGGGAGCAUGCCGCCCAGUACAGGGCCAUUCAAAAGAACACCAAGCUAUUAAAUAGAAGAAAAUGGAAUUGAGUAAGAUGUCAGCAUGGAACAGUGUAAUGAUGCAUUACAAGUCAACCAUAAUGAUGUUGAAGAUUCAAAAACAGAUGCUCAAGAAUUUGAGCAUCUAACCUGUAUGGACUCUGGGGAUACUUCCUUUGGACAAAAUGAUUCUCCUGCAGUUUUGCCCAUCCCUACUCCUGAGGCAAAUAAUUCACCUACAUCACAGAAUAUCGCAGGGCCUCUGACUCAGACGCAGACUCUUUCUACAGAGCAGUUCCAUCUAGUGGACCAAAAUGGCCAACCUAUUCAAUACGAACUUCAGACACUGGGGGAUUCUAAUGCACAAAUGAUGCUUGUUGCCAGCACAUCAGAAAAUGGACAGGUGCUUCGCGUGAUUCCAUCCGCCCAGACAGGAAUGACGCAAAUGAUGAUACCGCAGAGGCAGCUUGCAGACGUCAGCAGUCCUCAGGAUGUCCCUGAAGAGAAACCCAGUGACAGAAACUUACCAGCUGUAAGAGUGGAUGCUCCAGCAGAUGAUACUAGUAGUUUGAUUCUUCCUCCACAAGCAACCCUCACGUUGCCCAAAAAGUCAGUGGCCAGAAUGCUUGAAGAACCUUUUUUGGCUCCUCUUCAGCCACUUUCUUCUAAUACACCUAUCUGGGCCUGCCGCCUUAGGAGCUGUGAGAAAAUUGGAGAUUCAUACCGUGGCUACUGUGUAAGUGAGACUGAAUUAGAAAGUGUCCUAACAUUCCACAAGCAGCAGACUCAGAGUGUUUGGGGGACCCGCCAGUCUCCAAGCCCAGCGAAGCCAGCCACUCGCCUGAUGUGGAAAUCUCAGUAUGUCCCGUAUGAUGGAAUCCCAUUUGUCAAUGCAGGGAGUAGAGCUGUGGUGAUGGAGUGUCAGUAUGGGCCAAGGAGAAAAGGUUUCCAGUUGAAAAAAAUCAGUGAGCAGGAAAGCAGGUCCUGUCAGCUCUACAAAGCCACUUGUCCAGCCCGGAUUUACAUUAAAAAGGUACAGAAGUUUCCUGAAUACAGAGUUCCUACAGACCCUAAAAUUGAUAAGAAAAUAAUCAGAAUGGAGCAGGAGAAAGCCUUUAACAUGCUAAAGAAGAACAUGGUAGAUGCUGGUGGUGUUCUAAGGUGGUAUGUACAGUUACCUACCCAGCAAGCCCAUCAGUAUCAUGAAUUUGAGGCUCCCUGCCUCCCCUUGUCGCCUUCCCCUUUUCCCAUGUCUUCUCUUGAAGAACAGGAAGCUGCAGUUAGAGAUGAGAACUGCGCAUUACCCUCCCGUCUACAUCCUCAAGUAGCACAUAAAAUUCAAGAAUUAGUGUCACAGGGAAUAGAACAAGUAUAUGCAGUAAGGAAACAACUAAGAAAAUUUGUGGAAAGGGAACUGUUCAAACCUGAUGAGAUACCUGAAAGACAUAAUUUAUCUUUUUUUCCAACUGUAAAUGAUAUAAAAAAUCACAUCCAUGAAGUACAGAAAUCCUUGGGAAAUGGAGACAUGGUAUUUAAUUCAGACAUCAUUCCAGCAACGCUUCAGUGGACUACUGAUAGUGGGAAUAUUCUCCGAGAGACUGUGACAGUUACAUUUGCAGAAGGAAAUUCAUCAGGAGAAUCAAUUACCACCAAAGUGGAAACAAAUCAGACAGGGGGUUCUUUGUCUCCAGAUCCAACCCAGUUGCUUUCCUCACUUUCCUCAUUUCAGCCCAAAUUAUUUACACAACUACAGUUACAGCCAAGAUUCGCCUCUCCUGACACAUCACCAGCUCUGCUACCAGUAGAUAAUCAUCCAUCCUCCAGUCCGUCAAGACUCCUGGAUUCAAUAGGAAGUGCUGUAAUGAAUAAUAAUUCUCUCCUGCUUGGUCAAAGUCACAGCCUUCAAACAGAUACAUGCCUAACCCCAGACAAUAGUACUGCCUCUACCAUUGCUAACCUCCCAGAACCCAAUCAAAAUCUAGUUGAAGUCGAUCAACUAGCUGAAGUUGAAGAUGCUGAAGGUACAGGAAAUCUGGAAGAAAGUGUUCAUCAGAUUCUCUUGGAAGAUGUGCAGACCCUCCCAAUACGGAUUAUGGACAACCACCCAGCUCUUAUUGAAGAAAAUACUGAAGGUACUGUUUCUGUGAGCCAAGUAAAGCAAGAACCCAAAGAACCAACAUUGUCCGUGGAAGCAAAAAAGAAAUUGGACUGUAAGAUAUUAUCUACCAUAUAAAUUAUUGAAGUUUUUCAGGAUUUACAACUCUGGUGACUUCUGAUGUCCUAGCAAAGAAGGUGAAUAUUGUCAAAGCUCAGCGUUGUGUUAACUGGACUGAAGACUGGUUUGAUGAUCAGCUUUGAUUAAAAACUGAGUAUUUGUUGCCAAUUCCAUAUUUUUACCUUCUUUACAAGAUAUUUAACUCUUCUUAUUUUGUAUAAUUCUAAUGUUUUUUGAUUAUUUAAAAAGGUUGUUAGUUCAAAAGAUCAUAUGAGUUUAUGCUUAAUGAUACAGUCUGAACUCAGAUAGUUAAUCUAACUCAUCCCUGGAACUUAGAAGACAAAGAACAACAAAACUGUGUGUGAGUGUGUGUGUGUGUGAAGUCCUGGAAAAAUUUCUUAUCUCCUUAAGGUUGUGAAGAAAAUUCUAAUUGGCAGACAAGUGAGAGAAUAUUUGUAGUCUGCCUCAUUUAGAAAGAUAAAGCAAUAGGUUUUAUAUCACAACAUAAAGCCCCCAAUCACGUCUGUGGGAACCAUGCAGUUGCAUUUUGGCCUCUUCCCUUCUGAUUUCAGUGACAUACUAAAGGUCAUCUAAUAGAAGUUUAAAAUGUAUUGGUAAGUGCUGAAAAAUUUUAAUAUGAAUUACUCAGAUGAGCAACAGAAAUCAGUAUGUAGCAUGAAUUUAUACUGUAUUGGAGGUAAAACGCUUUUUGCAUAGAAAGAUGUAGAAAUUGAAAGAAUUUGGAAAUAAUAACAGAAUUCCCUGAUGUUUACAGAUAAUUUGGGCAACUUUUUGAUGACAGCAGAGGAUUUGUUUCCCUUUUUUGUAUUGAAGAUUCAUCUCCAAUUAGAAAAGAAUUUGAGUUAUAUUUACAUUUUUCUAUACCAGAGUUCUUACUGAAUUGAUAAUAUUAGGAUUUAUAGUAUUUCAAGGUAAGUAUUUAUAGUUUAAAAUUUAGUUCUUAUUUAAAAUUUUAUGAGAUCUAAUCUGAUAUGUUUGCUUGUGAAAUAAUUGUAUAUUCAAAUACAAUUAAGCAUAUUCAUUAUAAGCUUCUGUUUUCUGGAAGAUUAGUAAACAAGAAAUAUGAAGUAUAACUAUCAAGAAAUCAACCUAAAGGCUUUUGUUUUUCCAGAGACCAUAUGUGGGUAUGUUUUAAAUUUUAUUAAAAAAAAGAUUUCAAAUAGCAGUUAAUGUUUAAUAUUCAAAGCAUAUGUAAUACAAUGUGAAAUGUCACCUUAGUGCUUUAUAUGAAUAUGAGUCACUCUUGUCCUUUCUAAAGAAGUCCAAUAUCCCACUCCUUAUUUACUUUAAUUGUUUUAGGUAUAAAAUGUGUAUGUAAAUGUAAGGCACUGUUAUAUUAGAAAUAAGUGGAUUUAUACCCUGCUCUUUAGAUUUGUAUCCUAUUUAAUAUAAAUUUAAUUAUUUAUAUCCUAUUUAAUGCAAAGUUAAUAGUUAUGUUAUUUUUAUUAAGAAUUGCUUUUAUUUUUCCUAAGUAAAAAUACUUGAUGUAAGUGCAUUUAUAGGGACAAGCUGCUGAAUUUGAUUGUGUUAUGCUGAGUUCAACACAACACUUAGUUACCUCAAACCCAGAUUUUACUCAGUUUGUAUGUUCUCAAAACAAGUCCAACUUAAUUUAUAGUUUAGUGCUGCAAUAUAGAUAAUAUUCUUCUCUUAUUUCUGCUUUUAAUGGAAACUUUUUCAAAAGUUUAAAUAAUAGAUCUUUACUUUUCAAUAUUGGUAAUGGUUUAUUAUUAUAUAUUUCACCAAUUUAACUAUGUUCUUUUGGAGACAUUCCUUUUAUUUAUUUAUUUUUUGAUGUUGAGUUGCUAAGGAGAAAUGCUUACUAAAUGAAUUUUAGUAAGUUACCUAUGAGAAUGAGAGCUGUCAGAGGAUUCAGACUCUAGUACUUGAUCAAAACAUAUUCAGAAAAUAUUUUUCUCAAUUAUUUGUGAAUGUCUCUUCUGAUACUGAUUUUUAAUCAUGAGGACAGAAAGUUAAAGCACAUCUUUCCUGCAAAAAAAAAAAAAAAAAGAAAGAAAAAAUACAAAAACCAAGAGCAUGAAGGAAGAUAUAAAUCCCUAAUUAUAUACUCUUUUGGUUUUUAGGUAGAAACUGGAACUAUCAGUAUUUCAUGUUAUUUUGGAGGUAUUUUAAAGGAGCCAGCGUUUGAUGAUCUUAGAGGUCUCAUCAGAUUCUGAUCAAGACCUAAGACCUUGAGGUUGGAAACCAUGUGCUUUUCCGAGGCCUUUGAGCCUCCCUCACAGGUCUGUCCAGUGACUGUGAUGAGGUGGAUGAAAAUGAGUGGAAGCUUAGGUGUUCAGGAGAUUUCUCUUCAAACUGGUAUCUUUUGAGAAAACACCUCGGGUCAUUUAUGAAAAUAUUUUUAGAACUCCUUCCAUGUUAUUUUGUCCAUAAAUUUGUAGUUCUAGUGGUGGGAUAAUGGAGGUCCCCAAGAACCAAGGUGCACAGGAUUUGAUUGGCUGUUGCCAGCCAGCCUCAGAUGUCUUUAUGAACUCUUUGGGCUAGUUUCCUAUGUCUUAUCUGUGUUUGUACUGGAAUCAGAUUGUGUCUUCCUAACUUUCUAAAUGAUAUGAAGAUUAUUUGGAAUUACAUACUUUAUUUGGGGGAACUUUUGGGAGGCAACUUGAAGCAAAAGGAAGCCAAAAUCCCAAACGUCUUGUCAACAUUUUAGACAAAGAAGAAACUUUCAAAAUACAUUUAGAUUAUGAUAUGACCUCUAAAAGAUUUGGCUAAGACAAAAGAAAAAUGUGAAAAAUCUAAAACUAUUUUUUAGAUCCCUCCAGGUCAGUUUGAAUAUAAUGUUCUUCAUCCUUGAAUUCUGCUUCCCCAUUUUAUGUUCUGCCAUUUCCUUCUGCCCCGUUGCACCUUCCUAAUUCUUGUUUUCAAAACACCUCAGGAGGAAGUAGUUCUGGUUGUCUGAAAGAGAAAGAUUCCUUUGUUUAAUGUAGAAGACACCCUCCCCCCUCCUCAAUCCCAUACUUCCAUUAUUAAUAAUUCCUGCUUUUUUUUUAAUUUUUUAUUUUUUGACAGGCAGAGUGGACAGUGAGAGAGAGAGACAGAGAGCAAGGUCUUCCUUUGCCGAUGGUUCACCCUCCAAUGGCCGCCGCGGUCGACGCGCUGCGGUGGGCGCACCGCGCUGAUCCGAUGGCAGGAGCCAGGAGCCAGGUGCUUUUCCUGGUCUCCCAUGGGGUGCAGGGCCCAAGUACCUGGGCCAUCCUCCACUGCACUCCCUGGCCACAGCAGAGGGCUGGCCUGGAAGAGGGGCAACCGGGACAGAAUCCGGCACCCCGACCGGGACUAGAACCUGGUGUGCCGGUGCCGCUAGGCGGAGGAUUAGCCUAGUGAGCCGCGGCGCCGGCAAUAAUUCCUGCUUUUUAAUAGCACAAAAUCAAGUUGUCAAGAGCCUGGGUUAGUGUUUAAGCCUGUUGUAUUAGUUAUGUUUUGUUUGUUGACAUGCACACAAAAUAGGUUUUCCCGGGGGCUGGCUUUGUGGCACAGCAGUUUAAGCCACCACUUGCAGGGUCAGCAUCCUGAGGGUUCAGGUCCCAGGUACUGUGCUUCCUAUCUGGCUCCCCGCUAAUGCACCUGGAAAGCAACAGAAGAUGGCUGAAAACCCUGGACUCCUUCCACCCAUAUGGAGACCAGGAUGGAGUUCCAGGCUCCUGAAUUCCACGUGGCCCAACCCUGGCCAUUGUGGCCAUUUAGGCAGUGAACCAGCAUAUACAAGAUCUCUUUCUAUCUCGUCUUUUCCUUUCUUUUGGUCACUCUGUCUUUCAAAUAAAUCUUUUUAAAAAUAUAGGUUUUCCUGAAUCUUAACUUUUCUCUCUCUGUAAUUAAGAAAAGAUAAUUUAUCUUUUAUAGUGUUAAUUUUUUUAUUUGACUGAAGCUGGCUCAUUCUCAUUUUUUCUUUCUGUCCCUUUUUGCCCUGUCUUGGGAGACUUUAAAGAUUAAUUGUCAAAAACAGUUAUUUUGUUAUAAUGUAUUUGUUCUAAGAAUCUCUGAUAAAGAAUUCCUAAAAUAUAAAGAAAGAUUAUUGAACUGCUUUUUAAAAAUGUUUCUGGUUAAAACUGUAGGAAAUGAAGAAAAUGCCUUGAUUCCAAGAUAAAGGGGUUUAAUUUAUUCCAUUUAUGUAAGAGUUAGAGAGAGAGAGAGAUGCAUAUACACAUAUAGACAUACAGAGAGCUCCUGUCUGUAGGUUCACUCCACAAAUCCCUGCAGCAAGCCAGGGAUGGGCCAGAAAUGAAGCUGGCACCUGGGAACUUGAUCCAGGUCUCCCACAUGAGUGGCAGGAGCCCAGUUACUUGAGCCAUCACCACUGCCUCAAAAAGUCUUCCCUAGUUGGAAGGUGAAGUCAGAACUCAGAGCCAGGAAUUGAACCAAGGUACUUCAAUGUGGGAUGCAAUCUGUCUUUACCACAGACUAAAUGUUUGCCCCAAUAAAGCGGUUUUUUUGUUUUGUUA